rnacentral:rRNA from 1 species
AGAAUCAACGCUGGCGGCGUGCCUAACACAUGCAAGUCGAACGAGAAAGGGGUAGCAAUACCCUGAGUAAAGUGGCGCACGGGUGAGUAACACGUGACUACCUACCCUCGAGUGGGGAAUAACCUCGGGAAACCGGGGCUAAUACCGCAUAACAUCUACGGAUCAAAUGCGUAAGCAGCUUGAGGAGGGGUCGCGGCCGAUUAGCUAGUUGGUGAGGUAAUGGCUCACCAAGGCAAUGAUCGGUA